AGAGAAAGACAGUGAAGCGAUUCUGGUUUGUGACACAAAAGUCUGCUAGAUUUAUUUCUUCAUUAAUUUUGGCUUGGGUAUGAAAUUGGAGGUUUAAAGUGUGAUAGUGCCAAGCAGCAAGAACUCCCUUACCUUUAUGUUUGACACUUGUUUAGCAAGUUUUUUCCACUUAAAGAGUAAGGUAGCCGCUCUUUGUCUUGAGAAUAUAGAAUUUCCGCUGUCCAAUGAACUUUCUCCUUUUAUGUUAUGCAAGUUGCUUUUUUUGGCAUUUUUGUUUGUUGCUUAUUUUGAAUCAAAGAGUGUUCUUAGACUUUUAAGUUAGUAUUUUUAAUGUUGGUAAUAUUUUGUGGUUGGCA
rnacentral:misc_RNA from 1 species